rnacentral:misc_RNA from 1 species
AAGUCGUAACAAGGUCUCCGUAGGUGAACCUGCGGAGGGAUCAUUACUGAGUGAGGGCCCCCGGCCCGACCUCCAACCCUUUGUAAACCGACCCUGCUGCCUCGGGGGACCCCGGCGUCUUCGGGCGCCGGCCCCGGUCGGCAGCCCCAACCACUCUGCGUCUUUGCGUCUGAGUCUUGAAUGAUAAAUCAAUUAAAA